GACGAACGCUGGCGGCGUGCUUAACACAUGCAAGUCGAACGGUAAGGCCCUUCGGGGUACACGAGUGGCGAACGGGUGAGUAACACGUGGGUGAUCUGCCCUGCACUUCGGGAUAAGCCUGGGAAACUGGGUCUAAUACCGGAUAGGACCACUGCCUGCAUGGGUGGUGGUGGAAAGCUUUUGCGGUGUGGGAUGGGCACGCGGCCUAUCAGCUUGUUGGGGGGGUGAUGGCCUACCAAGGCGACGACGGGUAGCCGGCCUGAGAGGGUGACCGGCCACACUGGGACUGAGAUACGGCCCAGACUCCUACGGGAGGCAGCAGUGGGGAAUAUUGCACAAUGGGCGCAAGCCUGAUGCAGCGACGCCGCGUGAGGGAUGACGGCCUUCGGGUUGUAAACCUCCUUCAGCACCGACGAAGCGCAAGUGACGGUAGGUGCAGAAGAAGGACCGGCCAACUCGUGCCAGCAGCCGCCGUAA
rnacentral:rRNA from 1 species